rnacentral:lncRNA from 1 species
AAUCAGAAGUAAAAGGCACAAAGAUUGUCUUGGAUCAACAUAGUUUGGGGCACCUUCUAGAAAUGCCCUAUUCUGGCCUACAAAAUAUUGAAAUGCCAAAUGAAUUUGAGGCAAUGGAGAAGCUCCUAGGCAGAAAACUUUCGAAAAAAUUUGACAUCAACAAUGCCAAUCUUCUGCUUGCUGAACUAAAGCUCCUCCACAGCA